UACGAGGGGGCAAGCGUUGUCCGGAUUUAUUGGGCGUAAAGAGCGUGUAGGCGGCUAUACAGGUCCGCUGUGAAAACUCGAGGCUCAACCUCGAGACGUCGGUGGAAACCGUAUGGCUAGAGUCCGGAAGAGGAGAGUGGAAUUCCUGGUGUAGCGGUGAAAUGCGUAGAUAUUGGGAGGAACACCAGUGGCGAAGGCGGCUCACUGGACCGGUACUGACGCUGAGGCGCGAAAGCGUGGGGAGCAAACGGG
rnacentral:rRNA from 1 species